UGUUCCUCAGAUAUUUUCUUCUCUCUCCAAAAACGCUCGCCAUUUUAUAAAAUCACCGUCCGUUUGCUUGCCGAAGAGAAUCAGAUCCAUUUUUCUAUCCUAGCAUGGUCUCGGUUUCUUCUUCGCUUUUCCCCAAAUUCUCACCUCCUCUCUUUCGCUUUCUCUUUCUGCGAUUUUCCAUGGCGUUUGGUGCACAUUCGGCUCCAAUAAUGUUGCUGCAAAAUUUUUCUCGUUUCCUUAUUGUUCUGGAAUGAAUCCAUUUUUUGCUUUCUUCGUUUUUAUGUAUGUCUCGUUUUGUCUCUGUAUCUGCGAUUUCCAUGGCGGUUUGCUGCAGAUUAAGCUUUUUGCAUAUCACUGCAAAGUCUUUGUUGUUUUUUUUUGGUAUCAGUACGGCAAUCUUCAACGGCUUCUGAAAUGAAUUUUUGUUUUUGUUUUUGUUUUUUUUUGUUUUUUUAAACUUUAUUUUUAGUUUCACAGUUAGGUCUCGUUUGCUCGCGUUUGCUAAUUUGAUGAUUUAGUGGUUGAAGUUUGGACCACAACGGCUCGGAAAACGGCGUGCUUUAGUUUUAUUUGCUUUAUCAGGCUAAUAUUGGAAUUUCCGUUCACUAGAAAUGCUAAGGACUUCUUCCAGACAUUAGAGGAAAUAAGGUAUGUGGAGGAAAUCCUCUAAUCUUUUAUUUUACUUAUAAUGCCUAACCUUACAUUUUAUUAGAUAUCUAUCAAAAUAACCUCGUUGGUUUGCAAUUAUAAAAGAUACUCUUCUUUUUGCUAAAUUGAUCAUAAGAAACUAAUAAGUGUUGCAUUCCAAUUUAUUAUAUCAUUGGUCUGAACUAUGAUGGUGAAGAAAAAUGUCUCUAUAAUUUUAAUAUUUCCCGGAGCCAUAUAUGAUAUUUAUUAACCUUUUUUGGCUUUUAAAUUGCCCAACCUAGAUACCUGCUUUGGCAAGAUAAGCACUGGGCUUGGUUUUAAAUACUUUCUUUGUAUUUUUCAUUCUGUUAUAACUGACUGAUAUGUGUCGCUGUUGUCCUUCUUUAUACGUCGUGUUACUCUAUUUUGUCUGUGCUUGUAGCUGACUACCAGAUUGAUCAGAUAUAUUAUGUCAAAUUUACAGGGAAGCAAGAGGUUACAGAAAAAGAAAGUUUCUCGCUGACUUGCAGUUAUCUGGGCAGUACCUUUUCUUUCAGCUCCAAAUUUUCUUUACGCAUAAGGUCUACCUUCUUAUAGAGUUCUAUAUUCUCCUGAUGAACAAGAUUUCCCUGAAAUAAAGUCAAUGUUACUUAGCAGAUAUAUUUGAGUUGGACCUGAAUGGAAUUGAAGAAAUGUCAAAGUUUUGUUAGGAGACCUUCCGGUUUAGUUCUUUUAUUUCAUCAUUUAAUAUUUGAUCCUGCAGAAGGAAAAGGAUAUUAGAAGGUUGGUUAAGCAUUCAUGAUAAAUAGAAGGCCUCAUGAAAGGUAGUAGGGUAUGGAUUGUACCUUUUUCAUGCGGACACCUUUUAAACUCAUUUCCAGUUGGUUUUCCAGGUUUUGUAGAUCUUUGACACCCAAUCCAGAAAGUUCUUCCCCCAUCAAUUGUCUGUAAUGCAUCAUGGCUAAACAACGGGUAUGUUUUUGAAAGCUUCUCUUAUUUUCAUAAUGUGCAUCUCUACAUUAUCUUGUUGCGUCAAGGUUUUGUUCAUGUAUUUUACAUUGUCAUUUAGAGAUGAUUUGGUAUAAGACUCUGGUGGGUGGGGCGGUUGAGAUAAGAGAACUAGGAUUUAGGAUUAUAGUAAGUUGGCAUAAAUUAGAUGUAUGAAAGUAUGGUUAGAUGCUGGAUGGGAGAAUUAUUGGAAAGAAAUAAUGGAACUGACAUGAUUCAUUAUUAUAACUACGAUUCAUUUUUAUUUCUCUAUAUGCUCUAAUCUUGUCAACCUGGCCGUUACUGAAGAGAUAAAUAUCAGAUACUAUUCUUAUAGAUUCAUCGUAUCUUCUUCAUCGUCGAAACGGGUGUGGAUAUAUAUACCAUUGUAUAAAUUUGAUAAAGUAAUCUAGUUUUAGAUCCAUGGUGUUAUUUCAAACACUUCAGUGGGAAAAAAGAAUUUUAACAACUUUCCAACUUUGAAUUUGCAGACAAGGGUCUGCAUGCAGCUGUCUUUUUUGCUUUUCAUGGUUUGAGAGGCUAAAGUAGAUCUUCUGAAAUAGAGCAUGAUUUGAUUUUACAAUAUAAAAGGAAAAUGACAGUUGCCUCUUUUUUUUAUUUAUUUUUUAUUUAUUGGUAUUUCUUUUUAUGUUUUCUAGUUUGACAUGGGUCCAUUCCAUUCUAACAUUGAGUGUUAUGGCAGCACUCGUCUACUCUACAUCAUGUUGUUUUAGAGAGCCUUCCUUUAUUACUCUGUAUUUCAAGCUGCUAAAGCCAAUUGUCCUCUAGGUCUUGUCUAAUGACAAUGCAGUGUUUAUAAUUCCUCAAAUUGCAGAUUGAAUAGAAGACAUUCUUAAAAUUACAAGAUGCAAAUUCGAUUUUUUAUUUGAUCCUAAAAGUAAAAAACCUUCUUCAAUCUAUUGAUUAAGUGGAUAUCUAUAGGGAAUGGAGACAUAAUUGAGUGGUUAAACUCCAUUUAGUGUCUAAUAAAAGUAAUCUUGGAACUCUAAUGCUACUGGUCUUUCAAUUUUAUUUUUUAUUUUUUCAUUCUCUGAUCCACCUUUGUCAGAUUUAAAUGGUAAAGUCAGAAGGGGUUCCAUAAUAAGCCUAGUUGACCAUUUUGGAAAUGUUAACAUAAUUGAGUGGUUAAACUCCAUUUAGUGUCUAAUAAAAGUAAUCUUGGAACUCUAAUGCUACUGGUCUUUCAUUUUUAUUUGUUAUUUUUUCAUUCUCUGAUCCACCUUUGUCAGAUUUAAAUGGUAAAGCUAGAAGGGGUUCCAUAAUAAGCCUAGUUGACCAUUUUGGAAAUGUUAAUUAUCGGUGAUGAUCAAAUCAUCGUCUUUGUAGUUCAUUAUUGAAUUAAGAUCAUGGAUUCUAUUGGGUCCUUGGAGGUCCAUGUGUGAGCCUAGACAUUCAGUUCGUCCAAAUUUUAACUCUUUAUUUCUCUUUGUUGUGACUUUUGUUUUAUAUCCUAGUUUUCUUCUACGUCUCCAUUUAAAAAUUAGUUUGUUGUAGUUAGUCUUGUAUAAUUGAGUGAGGAAUGGUGGGGGUCAAGUUGGAUGAGCCAUAGUCCUAACUGGUGGGAUAUCAAAUAUUCACAAAAAGACAACAUGCAUGGUGAAGUGUAGUCUGUUUAGGCGUUUAUUUGUGCGUGUAUGUUCCACUACUUUUUAUCCAAUCUUAGGCAGUGUGAGAGAGUAAUUAUUAGGCAUCAAAGCAGUUUACCUGUGGCAUUCUUGCAAGUACUGAAGUUGUUGUCUCAAGCUUGCCGCCUCCCUCUGCCAAAACUAGUAAUGCAAUAAUAUUCAGGUAUUUCAUGCAAAAUUAUUUGAGGGCGUGGGCUAUGAUCAGACCUAAAUAAUGAAUCCUAUUUUUCAAAAGCAUGGGAUGAGUAUGCAUGUAUGAUGCAACAUAAGUUCAAAAGGCAGGAAAGUUGGUUAUCUGUCAAUGAAUUCCUGGUGAACAAUUAGAAACAGAGUUAAAAUGCUGAAAAUAUUGGUAAUGAGAAGAAAAUAUUUGCAUUGUCUGCGGAGUGCUGGCUAUUAUAUGGUGGCCACAUGAAAGAUAAACAAUUCAAAUGCGUUGAAAUGAUGGAUAAAUAAUCUAUAGGUUCGUGGACUUCACCAAUUAAAGGGAUGGAAUUUGGAUGGGAAGGGCUAUUCACCUGGUCUCAAGUUGUUAAUUGUUUGACCACAAACAGAAGCUAUCAACUAACCUGUGUAAAUAUUGGGAAAUAUUUCAUUUACCAAGUCACUUUGCUGAUGAAAUUGAUGAUGUUAAUGAUAUUUUGAAUGUACAAAUAUUUUAAGUUCUUUUGGUGACUUGGCUAUCGAUAAGCUUUUAUAGUUUCGAAUGAGGUAUUUAUUUCAAAUAAUAAUCACAUGGUUGCAAUUGAUUUAUAGA